GGAGUCCGAGUUGUAAUUUGUAGAAGAUGCUUUGGGUGUCGAGUUCGGCCUAAGUUCCUUGGAACAGGACGUCAUAGAGGGUGAGAAUCCCGUAUGUGGCCGAGGCCCGCGCCUAUGUAAAGCUCUUUCAACGAGUCGAGUUGUUUGGGAAUGCAGCUCAAAAUGGGUGGUAAAUUUCAUCUAAAGCUAAAUAUGGGCCAGAGACCGAUAGCGCACAAGUAGAGUGAUCGAAAGAUGAAAAGCACUUUGGAAAGAGAGUUAAACAGUACGUGAAAUUGUUGAAAGGGAAGCGCUUGCAACCAGACUUGGGCGCUGCCGAUCACCCCGAGUUCUCUCAGGUGCACUCGACAGCGCACAGGCCAGCAUCGGUUCGGGUGGCUGGAUAAAGGCCGUAGGAACGUGGCUCCCUUCGAGGAGUGUUAUAGCCUACGGUGCCAUGCAGCCCAGCCGGACCGAGGACCGCGCCUUCGGGCUAGGAUGCUGGCGUAAUGGUUGUAAGCGACCCGUCUUGAAACACGGACCAAGGAGUCUAACAUCUAUGCGAGUGUUUGGGUGGUA
rnacentral:rRNA from 1 species